GCGUCGGUGGUGCAACGGAUUAGCCCAUGCUUCCUGAAAGAGUGAGAUCUGGGUUCGAAUCCCGGUUAACGCA